UCUUCAGUUGUGAGCUCUGCAGAGAGUGGGGACAGAAAGGCAGCUGUCAGCUCUGUGGUGGGAUAGAGAAUUAGCAGCAUGCUGAGAGGGAGGGCGACCGCUAUAGUAAAAUGGGGUUGAAGGACCCACUCCUGUACACUACACUUAGCUUAACACAGAGCCGUGGAAACAGUACCUAGCCUUCCCUCAACCUGCCAACAUCUCCGUCACCAUGAUGCACCCCAUCAUGAUCGGCAUCAUUGUCGUCAACACCUCCAUCACCGUCAUCUACUGGAUCUUCAUCCUCACAGAGGCCUUCCAUAGGAAGAUAGAGGAAGAGGACAAACCUAAGGAUAACCCUGCCUAAAUGACUAACCUUACAGGUCCUGCUCAGAGUAGAUAGCUUUUAGUGCGUCUGUGUGUCCUGUUUUGUCUGGUGGAACUGCUCAGUCCUCCACAGCUUCAGCACAGUGCUCCUGCCAUUGGAGCACAGUUUUACUCACAGAUUCCAGGUUUUAGCAGAUUGAACUCUCCUGAACCCUCCCUUUGUUCUGCUUGAUGUGUCAUCUUAUGUACACCAGACGAUUCCUUACUACUGCUCACAUAAGGAGAGGAAAAUACAUCAAAUGCAGCCUUAGAUCAGGGAAAUGAAUGGACAGGGCAAACUCAACCAAAGGAUUCUUUGUUUGCAGCUCAACCCAGCAAGACUGGGUCCUAGGCCCAGACCCAGAUGAAGAGGAAGGUGCGUGUGAGCCUACAGGAGUGGAGAAGGAGGAGAGGUGGAAGACUGCCGUCGAGGCGAAGAGGUGGAUGACCAUCAAAAUAGAAGAGGAGAGGAAGGGGGUCCUUCCAUUAGUCAAGUCUCCCAGCAUGUAAAAAACAAAGACUCAACUUUCCUCUCCAGAAAACAGACUCACAUCUCUAUUAGGCUAAAUGUUACUCUGACCCCAAUUGACUAAGUUACCUUGAUAGCAAUACACCGUCCACUCUAUUCUGCUCUCCGCUCUGUCCUCAAUUCCUUCCAGGUUGGCUCCCAUGCAGCCAAAUCCCAUUUCUGUUACUUCUAAACUAAUCCUGUUUUGAUACAAAUUAAAUGAAUCUGCAACCCAAUCUAUUUACACAAUGUAAUUUUAGCAUCAGAGUCAUAGUAUAAACUAAGUUACUGUUUUAUAAUUUUCUGCACUGUAUAGGAUAACAAAUGUAGACAAUUUGAACAAUCCAAUGGUGCAGAAACAUUCAUUUGUGGCAGUGCUCCCUGAAAGGUUCUAUUUCCUUUUGACUCCCGUAGAAAUAACAGUUGGAUCUUUACUAUAAGAUGUCAGCUCACAUUAAUAGCAUGGGACUGAGCAGCACCUGGACAAACACACACAACACUCAUCACUUUUGCUAGUGUUGAGCUUUAUGUGCUGCUGUAACGCUGUAAACGUAAAUACAUCUGUUUGCUUGUGGCUAAGGUGGCCAAAGAGGAUGACCCUUGUUCCAAUAAAGGAAAGACUGGA